UUGGUAAGUACCCGAGUUGGUAGCAGGGGGCGGACUGUUAAUCCGUUUGCGAAAGCACACCGCUGGUUCGAGUCCAGCCUUACCAGCCAA
rnacentral:tRNA from 1 species